rnacentral:rRNA from 1 species
AUUGAACGCUGGCGGCAGGCCUAACACAUGCAAGUCGAGCGGAUGAGAAGAGCUUGCUCUUCGAUUCAGCGGCGGACGGGUGAGUAAUGCCUAGGAAUCUGCCUGGUAGUGGGGGACAACGUUUCGAAAGGAACGCUAAUACCGCAUACGUCCUACGGGAGAAAGCAGGGGACCUUCGGGUCUUGCGCUAUCAGAUGAGCCUAGGUCGGAUUAGCUAGUUGGUGAGGUAAUGGCUCACCAAGGCGACGAUCCGUAACUGGUCUGAGAGGAUGAUCAGUCACACUGGAACUGAGACACGGUCCAGACUCCUACGGGAGGCAGCAGUGGGGAAUAUUGGACAAUGGGCGAAAGCCUGAUCCAGCCAUGCCGCGUGUGUAAAGAAGGUCUUCGGAUUGUAAAGCACUUUAAGUUGGGAGGAAGGGCAGUAAGUUAAUACCUUGCUGUUUUGACGUUACCGACAGAAUAAGCACCGGCUAACUCUGUGCCAGCCGCCGCCGUAAUAC